rnacentral:miRNA from 10 species
UGGCAGAAGAGAGAGAGACAGAGUGAGAGGAACCACCACACACUUUUAAACUAUCAGAACUCAUGAGAAUUGACUCAUUAUUACUAGAGCAGUAAGGGAGAAUUCUGCCCCCAUGAUCCAAUAACUUCCCA